UUUUCGUUUUGUUGAGCCAAUUUGGUUAUCAAAUGUUGGAUCCACUGAAGAAGAACGAGUUGAAUGAGUAUCAAAGCGUAUGAUUGAUUCAAAUCCGGGUCAGAUGUGGUUGUUGCCAUAUCAUAAGGGAAAGCAUUGGAUGCUUAUAAUAAUUGAUUUUGAUCACCAAUUGUGCUAUUUCCUGUAUUCUCUUCACAAUUUUCCACCAGAUGAAAUCAAAUCUCUCAUUUCUCGGUAAAAAUCUAACCAAUUAACUGCAUACUCUUUAAUUCAUUUAAAAUUAACAACAUCUAAAUGUUUAUGUUAUUAUUAUUUAGUGUCUUUCAACAUUUACGCACAAAUAAUGCAAAAACUAAGGAAGUCGCGUGGAGAACAAUUAAGUGUCCUCAUCAACCAUUACAAUCAGUACAAUGUGGGUUCUAUGUUAUGAGGAUGAUGAAGGACUUCGUGACAAAUGAGUUUUCAAUGCGAUGGAUAACUAGUAAUUGUGGCGGGAAGAACUAUUACACAAAGGAUGAGAUCAAUGAAGUGCGUGAAGAAUGGGCACAAUGCGUCAUGGAUUUGAUGAGUACUACAUAGGUCCACUCACUUUUGUUAACUUAGACUUUUAAUGAGAUAUACUUACAAUGUUAACUUAGACUUUCUUGAAGAUAUACACACUUUUGUUGCCUAACUAUAGUUUACAAUGCUUAUGUGAGUCAUUUUGUAAUUAACUUAAGACUCGUUAUUUUAGAUACUUAGUUCAAAUUCUAGUAUUUUAUAUUAUUGUGAUA